UAAAGCCACGGAGUUUAUUUGCGCGGCACAUGCUAAUUCAUCUCGCGCAAUUUAUGCAAAUGUGCGCAAAAAAUUCUAAUUAACCAGCAACGUUGCGCGCUUCUCCGAAUACGCUAGAAAUCGUGCAGGAACGCUUUUCUCGCAGUUUCGCGAAAAAUGCAAGCGAUCUGUAUGCUUAGCAGAUUAAAUAACAUCACGAUAACAAAAUACGAAUGCGAUAACCUUUUGGCACAAAGGAAAAAAAGUAACGCGAAUUGUUGACGCGAAAAAUUGCGAAUAAACUUCACAAAUUAAUCUUUGAAAUCGAAGAAUGAAGGAAACCAAAGCUCAGGAAAAACGAUUCGGACGGAGCCUGUCAGUGUUAUUCGCAAAGAGAAGAACCUUUAUUUCAGAGAAGUCGUUCAAACGCAACCAUUUUUGCCGCUUUUUCGGCAUGCAAAGUCUGCGGUGCGCGCAAGCACGCUGCAAAGACAGAUCACCUACUUUAUGGAAUUUUCGCGCACUGCAAUAAUGUUUACCACAAAUGGUGUUAGCGACCUUAAAAAGUAUUUAAAACACACAGGAGGUUUAAAUGACCAGUGUGUGUAGGUUCAAUCAAUGUGUGUAGGUUCAAAACAGUGAAAUAUGACCUAAUAAAACCAUUAAAACAUUAGCGAAACCAUCACUUCAUUGUGUAAAUCGCUGGGCUGGU